AAAACUUUAGAUCGGCGUUUAGUAAACAAAUAUAUAAAAGAGUUAGAAGUAUGCAUUUCAAAUCAAGCGUCGAUUUUUAGUCAAUAAUAGUUCGCUAAACGUUUUAUCCAUUUUUCAACCAAUUUUAAGUAAAUGUUGACCAAUUCUGAACCAAUUUGUGCUUACUGGGAAACGUGUUCUACAGAUAAGUUUUUAAAUUUUGUUAAAAAAAAAAAAACUUUAAUAUUGUGCUGCAUUUUAUAUAUCAGAGAUGAGCUUUCAAAGUACAAAAAUUUUUACAAUAUAAUACAAAGCUAUCAUUCAAGUUAAUAGAAAGAGAUCCUCAACUCUUGUUGGAUAUAACCUUGCUAAUCAUAUUUAAAUAACAGAAAAAUAAAAAAAAAAUUUAGUUGAAUAUUUUGGUGGAUACGUAUUUAGUACUUAUAAAGAACACGUAAUUUAAAAAGUUGGCAAAGUUGACUGAAUUGAAGGACACUCUUAUUUUUAUUAGCUGGGAAAAUUGUAGAAUAAAUCAAAUUUUCUUUAAAAAGUGAAUUUUUUGUACUAAUAACAAUUAUAAUCAUUCAAAAAAUCAAGGUGAUCUUUGAUUUGUAUUAUCUGAUGUUUUUUUACAACUAAGAAUUGCAGAAUUGCCAAGUCAACCAAAGUCAGAAAGUCAAGCAAAAAAUUCACGGAAAAAUUAGCCGCUAAUUGAUGCUUCAAGAUGUUAUGGUUUAUCUUACUUAUCAGAAAAUUGCUAUUUUAAUUUUAUCAAGAUAUUUGAAGAAGUAUCUCAAUCUUCUCGACGACAUUUUACCACUUUAUUAUUGUGUUUGCUCAUUAUCCUAUUCAAAAGAGCUUAAAAGUUUGCAUAAAAUCAAGUCUAUAUUGAAAAAAACAAAUUUCUUCAGUACAGAACUCAAAAAAGGGUCUUAAAAAUCCACAAAAUAAAUACUACAAAUUUAAUAAAGAUUAUUUUGAAAGCCAAAAAAGUAAAAAAAUAAAUAUUUUAGAUUUGAACUGUAUUGCAGUGUGAUUGAAAAAUGCAAUAAUAAGGUGAAAACCAAAUAAAGUGGUAUAAGUUUUUACUUUAAACAAUAAUAUCAUACAAUAUAAUGAUUAAAACAACUGGUUUAACUACUUAAGUAGUUAAAUAGGUAACAGAUUAUAUUUAUAAAAUUUUAAAUAUUAUAACUUCUCCUUCACACAUCUUUAAGCUAAUAGGUCACUUUUUAGCCUCCCUGAAAAUUUUUAAAGAUUGAAAAUGCCGCUUUUGAUACCCAAUUUACCACUAACCUCAAGUUUCCCUUCAUGUCCUAUUUAUUAUGCAGAGUGUAUGAUAUAACGGCAAAGUAAAUAAUUUUCCUUAUUUAAGAUAGAAUUUAAAACUGAAAAAUACUAACGACAAAUGUUUAACUUUUCAAGACUUUGGAUUAUUGUUCAAGAUUUUUUUAUAAAGAUUAUUAGUUUUUAUAAUUUAUUUGAUAGUAUAUUGGCUCCUUAUUGCAUCAAUGUCGUUAUACCCAAUAUCAUUUACAAACGAUUACCUUUUUUUCUUCUUAUAGCUCGCAGUUGGCCAGAGUAAAAGUCUAAUGAAUCUUAUCAUAGUUAUUCAGCUGAAACCAUUUUUCAAAAGGGAUUUAGCUAUAUAUAUAACUAAACUGACAAUGACAUUGAUCCUUCUAUAUGCUUGCAAAAUAAAUAUAUAUAAGCCUUAGUUAAAUUUUUGAUGUUUGAUAUUUUUUUAAAUGAAAUAAGGUUAGAAAAAUUUGUAUUAAACAAUAACUUUUUUAAAUGCAAAUAUUUAUAUACUAAUUUUAAUCUACUUUAAAAGAUAAAGUUGAUUUCUUUGAGUUUAGCUUUAGGAAUAUGAGACACUAUUUUAUCCUGCAUAAAGUAGGAUUUGGCAAUGAAAAUUUCUUCACUGGAAGAUUUAUUUAAAGUAGUUAACUUGUACAUCUAAACAAAAAAGUUUUAUUUGGAUUGAAAGUUAUCAUUAUGUAUUAUGUGUGGUAUAUGGAAACAAACAAUAACUUUUUUUUGAUUUAAAACUAUAGGUAUCAAUUACUAUAUGAUAUUAUUUUUACAUAUUUUUAGGUAAAAUUACUUUAUUACAUUAUUAUAUUAUAUCUUCAUUAUAUUAUUAUGUUACAUCUUUAGUUAUAAUAUAUAACUAAAUAUAUAUCUUUAGUUGUAGUUUGUAAAUUUUUUUUUCUUAAUUCUUUAUCAAAUACUUCAGCGGAAGAAGAGAUAUCUCAAAAAGAAAAAUGUUUAUACAUCCUCAAGAAAUCCCAGAGCCAAAUAUUUGCAAAAAUUGAGGAUAAAUCAUUAACCUUCUUUUAAAUAUACUUCUUGACGCGUCUUUGUUUACAAAAAGUGUCCGCUCAUUGGUAUGCUGGGUUCUAAAAAGACGCUAACAAUAAGAUGAACAAUAACGCUUUUAAACUGACCAAAUUAUGUAUUUUUUGACUAUGGUUUUAUAAUUUUUUUUUUUUUAAUUUUUAAACUAUAAUUUUUGAAAAAUUCCAUUGUAAAGGAAAAAAAACUUCUUUUCUAUUAAAUUUAAUGUAGUUUACUUUUUUAUGUUUUUUUUGCAUUCGACUAUUUUGUUUCUUAUGAGGUAACUAUAACACAUGAUGUGCAACAUGACACAUUAAUUAAAAACCAAAGUUUAAAGAAGGUUCUCUAAAGAACUUCAUUAUUGUUCCGUAUGGGUUUCAAUGAAAUAUAUCCUUAAGGGUAAACAUACUAUUUUAUUUGUAAAACUUCAAGAAGAUAAAUUUGCCUCAAAGCACAAGCAUUUUUGAAAACUUGAAACUUUUAAUCGAUGUCACGGCCACAAUACUGACAUAUGUUUAAUAAUUUGUUUUCUACAAGAUUUAUUGAGAUUAUUUAUCACAACCAAUAUGGUUAUCUUAUAAUGAUGACAAUGAACACCAUCAUUAUUAUGACUUUAUUAAUCAAUAAAAAAAUCAAAACCUACCUUUUAAAGCGUUCUUGUCCUUUGAUAUUUUUGAAAAGUUUUCCAGACAAGGCAAAAUUUUUUGAUAUGCCAUUGCUUUAGCUUUGAUUUUGUUCAUUUCAUUUUGAUAACUUAAUUUCACUGAGAUUUCAAUUGGUAAACCUCUUAGACAUUUUAUUUUCUUUAGAAGUAAUGUAAUGUUGCUUUUAACAACAACAUUUGAGUCAAAAUAUCCAGAAAACUAAGCAAUAGUUGAAUAUAAAAGAUAUGACAGGUGGAACAUUGUCAGAGGUAAAAGUAAGAAAAGGUGGGAAAAAAUACUCUAUUGUAACAUUAUAACCACUUCCGCUCAACUCAAG
rnacentral:lncRNA from 1 species